rnacentral:rRNA from 1 species
CGUUAUCGGAAUUACUGGGCGUAAAGGGAGCGUAGGUGGCUCUAUAAGUCAGAUGUGAAAUCCCCGGGCUUAACCUGGGAACUGCAUCUGAAACUGUAGAGCUAGAGUAUGUGAGAGGAAGGUAGAAUUCCAGGUGUAGCGGUGAAAUGCGCAGAGAUCUGGAGGAAUACCGAUGGCGAAGGCAGCCUUCUGGCAUAAUACUGACACUGAGGCUCGAAAGCGUGGGUAGCAAACAGGAUUAGAUACCCUGGUAGUCCACGCCGUAAACGAUGUCUACUAGUCGUUGGGUCCCUUGAGGACUUAGUGACGCAGCUAACGCAAUAAGUAGACCGCCUGGGGAGUACGGCCGCAAGGUUAAAACUCAAAUGAAUUGACGGGGGCCCGCACAAGCGGUGGAGCAUGUGGUUUAAUUCGAUGCAACGCGAAGAACCUUACCUGGUCUUGACAUAUCUAGAAUCCUGCAGAGAUGCGGGAGUGCCUUCGGGAAUUAGAAUACAGGUGCUGCAUGGCUGUCGUCAGCUCGUGUCGUGAGAUGUUGGGUUAAGUCCCGCAACGAGCGCAACCCUUGUCCUUAGUUACCAGCGGGUUAAGCCGGGAACUCUAAGGAUACUGCCAGUGACAAACUGGAGGAAGGCGGGGACGACGUCAAGUCAUCAUGGCCCUUACGACCAGGGCUACACACGUGCUACAAUGGUAGGUACAGAGGGCAGCUACACAGCGAUGUGAUGCGAAUCUCAAAAAGCCUAUCGUAGUCCAGAUUGGAGUCUGCAACUCGACUCCAUGAAGUAGGAAUCGCUAGUA